rnacentral:rRNA from 1 species
GCUCGCUUCCUUGAUCGAGUGGCGAACGGGUGAGUAACGCGUGAGGAACCUGCCUCAAAGAGGGGGACAACAGUUGGAAACGACUGCUAAUACCGCAUAAGCCCACGACCCGGCAUCGGGAAGAGGGAAAAGGAGCAAUCCGCUUUGAGAUGGCCUCGCGUCCGAUUAGCUAGUUGGUGAGGUAACGGCCCACCAAGGCGACGAUCGGUAGCCGGACUGAGAGGUUGAACGGCCACAUUGGGACUGAGACACGGCCCAGACUCCUACGGGAGGCAGCAGUGGGGAAUAUUGCACAAUGGGGGAAACCCUGAUGCAGCGACGCCGCGUGGAGGAAGAAGGUCUUCGGAUUGUAAACUCCUGUUGUUGAGGAAGAUAAUGACGGUACUCAACAAGGAAGUGACGGCUAACUACGUGCCAGCAGCCGCGGUAAAACGUAGGUCACAAGCGUUGUCCGGAAUUACUGGGUGUAAAGGGAGCGCAGGCGGGCGAUCAAGUUGGAAGUGAAAUCCAUGGGCUCAACCCAUGAACUGCUUUCAAAACUGGUCGUCUUGAGUAGUGCAGAGGUAGGCGGAAUUCCCGGUGUAGCGGUGGAAUGCGCAGAUAUCGGGAGGAACACCAGUGGCGAAGG